rfam:Oryza nivara chromosome 10, whole genome shotgun sequence.
AAUAGAUGACGCCGUUGACUUAUUCUCACAUGUUUGAUCAUUCGUUUUAUUUAAAAAAUUUACGUAAUUAUAAUUUAUUUUUGUUAUGAGUUGUUUUAUCACUCAUAGUACUUUAAGUGUGAUUUAUAUCUUAUACAUUUGUAUAAAAUUUUUGAAUAAGACGAAUGGUCAAACAUAUGAGAAAAAGUCAACAGCGUCAUCUAUU